AAACUAACAAGGAUUCCCCUAGUAACGGCGAGUGAACCGGGAAGAGCUCAAAUUUGAAAUCUGGCGUCCUCAGGGCGUCCGAGUUGUAAUCUAUAGAGGCGUUUUCCGUGCCGGACCGUGUCCAAGUUCCUUGGAACAGGAUAUCAAAGAGGGUGACAAUCCCGUACUUGACACGACGACCGGUGCUCUGUGAUACGUCUUCUACGAGUCGAGUUGUUUGGGAAUGCAGCUCAAAAUGGGUGGUGAGUUCCAUCUAAAGCUAAAUAUUGGCGAGAGACCGAUAGCGAACAAGUACCGUGAGGGAAAGAUGAAAAGCACUUUGGAAAGAGAGUUAAACAGUACGUGAAAUUGUUGAAAGGGAAACGAUUGAAGUCAGUCGUGACCGAGAGGCUCAGCCGGUUCUGCCGGUGUAUUCCCCUCGGUCGGGUCAACAUCAGUUUUGUCCGGUGGAUAAGGGCGGUAGGAAGGUGGCACCCUCGGGUGUGUUAUAGCCUGCCGUCGCAUACAUCGGGUGAGACUGAGGAACGCAGCUCGCCUUUAUGGCCGGGGUUCGCCCACGUCCGAGCUUAGGAUGUUGACA
rnacentral:rRNA from 1 species